rnacentral:rRNA from 1 species
CAGUAGCCGCGGGAAUACAGAGGGUGCGAGCGUUAAUCGGAUUUACUGGGCGUAAAGCGUGCGUAGGCGGCUAAUUGAGUCGGAUGUGAAAUCCCCGAGCUUAACUUGGGAAUUGCAUUCGAUACUGGUUAGCUAGAGUGUGGGAGAGGAUGGUAGAAUUCCAGGUGUAGCGGUGAAAUGCGUAGAGAUCUGGAGGAAUACCGAUGGCGAAGGCAGCCAUCUGGCCUAACACUGACGCUGAGGUACUAAAGCAUGGGGAGCAAACAGGAUUAGAUACCCCAGUAGUCCCUGUCUCUUAUAC